UCAACAGUUGAGAUAUUCUUUUAGAUCAUCCAAUCAGACUUUCAGAUUUAGAAGAAUACACUAAUAACAGCAAACGUUCACUCAAACGUUGGGUCUGGCUGAACGCAGCUAUUGCAUAUAUCGCAUCCAAUCGCAUCCCUCCCAUUGCCUCUAUUUCAGAGUUCCUAUUGUUUUCGCGUUGCUAUAAAGUCCUUAGAAAUAGGAUGGCGUCUGGGUCGAUCCCUUAUUGGUUGCUCCAAUGACGCACUCUCUAUUCUGCACGGUAUGUAUGUAUGUACCGUGUGAUUUCAAAACGUCAAAAACGUGUCGAUAGAGACCUAUAUAAAGAGAGAAGCGACAUCGAACCCCCACCACUACCUCCAAUAAUGUUCUAUGGGUGCGUUCCACUUAACGCCUGCAACGACAACGACCACGACCGCAAUAUUUGCCGUUCCACUAGAUUGUGGGCGCUACGGUCGAAAUCUUAAGUGGAACGAGUUUUGUGUAGUUGUAUAUAUUCUUCGAAUCCCCACCAUCAUUCUCAGCACUGACAUAUUGUGACCGCUCCAUGUCAACAAACUCCACUUAAUAAACGUCAUGAUUGAUACUCCGUCAUCGUGAAAUUAAGGUUUACUGUUUAAUACACAUAGCAAUUUUCACGUUUUAUUUUUUUGCGCGCGUCACGGGAUCAUGUCCAAACGUUAAAAAUGUCACAGCAAGAAAUAAAAAGUGAGCUAAAUGUGUAAUGAUGGUAAAAGAAAGCUGGAUUAUAUUGAUCAGAUUAUUCAAGAAAUGAAAAAUAGGUUAGUUUGAGGAGAGUUAAUUAUAUUAUAUUUGUUGCACAAUUAUUGAUAAAGCUUCAGACAUUUCUGUAAAUCAAUCUAAUUCUGAAAUUGCUGAUAUUACAAAUAAUACAUUGCUCAUCGAUCAGCUAAAAACUCAAAAUGAUGAAGCUUCACAAUUAAUCAUCCAUCUGGAACAUGAGCAUAAUGCAAACCUAAA